GAAUGCACUCGAGACAGCUCAUCGAAAACAUCUGAAGUAACAUCCCUGUGUAGACAGGACUUCAUUAUGUUACUUGUUAUUGUUUUCAGUGAGUCCUCACCUGCUCUUUAAAGCACAACAUACAUUACGAGAGAAAAUUAUUGCUCAUUAUUGUUGUAUUCCUUAAUUGCCUUCUAUAUUAGUGCGUUCAAAGGAAUGCAUUUUUCCUCUUCUGCCCUCUGCCUGCAUCCAGCAGCACUCAGCAUUUUCCACAGAGCUCCGAAUUGCUUGCAUUCUUACAAAAAUGCCUCAGCCAUAUGGGAUUUGCUGAGACCAAAUGAAAAGUGCAUGACUUGGGAAAAUGCAACACUUUAUACUGCGUAUUGAUUCCAUGGGCACUGUACAAACAGAAAAUGUUAGUGAAAAAAAUGUCUACAGGCUUUAGUGGUGUGAGAGUUCACGUUCUGCACAGGCCAGGCGUGGCCGGAGCUCACCGGUCAAGAAAGUGUGACGUUGCACUAAGGGGCAGGGGUGAACUUUGAUGCUUGUAAAUAUAUUGCACCAGCCAAGCUCCAGCUGCAACCUUGCAGUUUUCCAGGCAGAUCUACUUCCUUUUGCCAGAGGAAUGUGAGCCACUGCAGCUAAUUUUGUGCUGUAUAAAUAAUGCUGAUAAAGAGACAAGCCUGAGAUUAGACAGGCUAGAUAGCCAAAAUAAUAGAUUAAAUCAGAAAGGUGAAGCAUUUGUUAAUCAGAAAUAUGAGUAUGUUCCCUAAGAAGCUGCAGGAACCCGACUGUAAUGAUGAUGAAUGAGAGAUCCCAGAAUAAUAAGAUCAGUCUUGCAUAUAGGCAGAGCUGCAUCUGAGACUCCGUAUGACAUGGAUGUGCUUGUUGUACAGAGAAAUUGGGCCUUUAUGUUCUGAUAGAGGACAUUUCCUCUUCUUAAUGGCCUGUUCUUGACAUGCUGACAGAGCGAAGGCUGUGCUGUGUGCCUGGUGCUGCUUUGCUCUUUCCCCUUCUGCUCCUUCUUCUCUCCAGCAUCUUCCUUCCUAUGGCAUUACAGGGCCAGACUGAGGGACACCAAAAGCAGGGAUCAUUGCCAGGGGGACAGACACGAGGCUGGUAUCCUGACUAUACUGUUCAGCUUAAUGGAGACACCAGAAGCAUGGCAGAUGCUUAUAGGAUGCGCAGGAUCCCAGAAAAGUAGCCUGAUUUCCAAAACAGGUGAACAUUUGCAAUUUCUGUAAAGAACAAUGACAACUCAUCAUUCCAUGGAAGAUUGUUUCAUUCUACAAGUUUCCCACACAGGAUUUCCACACCAAGUCUCAGGCCCACACUGUGGAAAACAUUGGUACAGGAUGACGAUACAAGAAGGAUGUGGGCACCCACCAGAUUCUACCAAACACAUUGAGACUCUGCCAUGUUUAAUCUCCUAGGCGUAUUAUGUUGGAAUGAAUUAUAAAAAGACUUCAGGGUGAAGCUAUGACUAAUCAGAACAGUAGGUAACAAGAAGACUGCUGAGAGAAGAAAGCAGGGAAUUCACUGCAGCGCAAGAUGCACAGGGUGCUACGUAACAGGAGGCUCUGCCAAAGGCUAGCUGCACGUGGGCAGCCUUGUCGCCCUUCAGAGGCAACCCUUUCAUUCAGCUGGUCUGCAGGCAGUCACUUUCUUCACUCUCCUGCACAGAAGCAGUGGAGUAAAAGCAUCAAGAUCAGGUAGGCAGCCUGCUACUUCCCACUUUGGUGAGGAGACUUUGCCAAAAUUAGGGGCAUGAGGGAAGCGAGCUGCUGGUUGCCUUCUUCUUCAAUCCUCUUUGCAGAUAGGAAUCUAGACACUGGACGUUCUUCCUGCUGCAUAAUAUAUACCUUUCCUCAUUCUUCUGAGCAGUGUAUACCUUGACUCAUUUCUGUCCAACUUCAAAGGCACAGAAAUCAGAGGGAGAUCUCUCAGACCUCUUCUCACCAGAAUGAAGUCAUAUCGUCUCACCUCAGGACAGGCAAACAGUGAGUAGUCUGAGCUGAGAUUUUAAAGAUGAGGGUGUUAUCAUUUCAUCUUCAGGAUCUAGUUAACAUCCAAGCUUCUUAUCCAAGUUUGUCUAGAUCUAGUAGGCAAAAAUGCCAAUUUGGAUUUUAUUUAAAAAUAGUUAAACAGGUACAGUAUCUGUUUAUUGAGGUACAAUUAUUAUCAGGAGAAGUCAAAGAGCAGACACAGAAUGCAGGACUCAAAAUCUAAAGUAAGACUGCUGAAAGAAUAACAAUGGUUCUAUUGUACUCCAGUACAAAAGCAAAUAUGAUGGCCUAAUUGAAUUUUAUUGGGUGCUGCUUUCUAAUUGUAGAUGUGACUGAAUGAUCCAAACUGUAGAAGGUGGUUGGCUAAUACUCUGAGUAGUGUGAUUCCUUAAGAAAACCUAGCUAUGACACAGCAUCCACCUUUAAUUGGUACCUUUCAUCUCAGAUAACUGAGGAAUUAAGAGGAUAAACACAGCCACCUUAGGUUUUCAUUACUUGUCUGUCUCUUUUAUAGGCCUUUACAGUUCAGUAGCUCUCAAUGUCAUGAAGCAACCAGUUCACGAGAGAAGUCUCCAAGAAAUUCAACACACACAAGUUCAAAAGGCUGGUUGCUUUAAACCCUCUUUGAAGCUUCCACACAUGUGAAAUCCAAGCAGUUGUUUUAAAUAAAAGCUCUAAAUGUGAGCCAUGGCAGCUCAGUCUGCAGAAGGCUUGUGAAUACAGAAGAGUAGACUGACAGCACAAUUACCUGUAAGGUGUGCCCACUGCGUGCUGGGCUUGGGUUUUUGUUCAUGUCACCACAUGUGACAGAAGGUCACCCGAAAGGUGAUUCCUGCUGUCCUACCACUGCAGUCCUCAUGCUGACUGGCUCUGGCAGGCAGUCCUCCUGCUGAGGACCGUCUUCAUCUAUCACAGCUGACUCCAGCCGUGAUUUGGUUGGGAAGGAUGUGGGCAUCAUGCCAUGAUAUAUGUCGCACUGGGUGACACUAGCUGUGUGUGGUGGCAGAACCCCCUAACUGCCUCCUUACUCCCUCUUAAUUCUGAAUAUCAACAAUUAAUACUAUCCUCUAAUUCUCUCCAAGUCUGUGUUUGCACAGUAUUGUUGGAUCCUUUUUUAUGGGGCCAUGAAUGGAGAGACAAGACAGGUAAUUAUUAGGUGAGAUCAAUCUGUCUAUUGAGAGCACUGGGGCUAUAUGACUCAUUGAAUUAUCUGAGUAGACAAACAAACCAGAAAGUAUUAAAAGAGUGGUUCUGAUCAAUACAAAUAAAAACACAUUUUUGUUCUUGCUGAGAACAGGGAGAAAAAGGAAAAAAAAAAAAAAAA